GCAUAUCAAUAAGCGGAGGAAAAGAAACCAACUGGGAUUACCUUAGUAACGGCGAGUGAAGCGGUAAAAGCUCAAAUUUGAAAUCUGGUACUUUCAGUGCCCGAGUUGUAAUUUGUAGAAUUUGUCUUUGAUUAGGUCCUUGUCUAUGUUCCUUGGAACAGGACGUCAUAGAGGGUGAGAAUCCCGUUUGGCGAGGAUACCUUUUCUCUGUAAGACUUUUUCGAAGAGUCGAGUUGUUUGGGAAUGCAGCUCAAAGUGGGUGGUAAAUUCCAUCUAAAGCUAAAUAUUGGCGAGAGACCGAUAGCGAACAAGUACAGUGAUGGAAAGAUGAAAAGAACUUUGAAAAGAGAGUGAAAAAGUACGUGAAAUUGUUGAAAGGGAAGGGCAUUUGAUCAGACAUGGUGUUUUUUUAAUGUGCAAGUCUCUCGUGGACAUGUGCCUCUGGAAAUUAACACUGGGCCAACAUCAGUUCUGGCGGCAGGAUAAAUCAUUAAGAAUGUAGCUACCUCGGUAGUGUUAUAGCUUUUUGGAAUACUGCCAGCUGGGAUUGAGGACUGCGCUUCGGCAAGGAUGUUGGCAUAAUGGUUAAAUGCCGCCCGUCUUGAAACACGGACC
rnacentral:rRNA from 2 species